rnacentral:rRNA from 1 species
GACAGAGGCCUCGAGCGUUAGGCGGAAUCACUGGGCUUAAAGCGCGUGUAGGUGGGUCGUUAAGUGUCCGCGUGAAAUCCCACGGCUCAACCGUGGAACUGCCGGGCAUACUGGCGAUCUUGAGGCAUUCAGGGGCGAGCGGAACAGACGGUGGAGCGGUGAAAUGCGUAGAUAUCGUCUGGAACGCCAAUGGUGAAAACAGCUCGCUGGGAAUGAUCUGACACUGAGACGCGAAAGCCAGGGGAGCGAACGGG